CAAAAAUCACAGAAUCACGUGACCACACAAUGCGAACAUCGAACACAUUCCACAAAGAUUUUCUUUCGUCUUCGACAGAAAUAUCAAAUACUUUCACUUCUUUUCAAACUGACAAUCGUUUCCUUUCACAAUAUCACCUUCUUCCUGCUUCUUUUAUACUUUUCGAGACUAAUCGAAAUCUAUCGAAUAUCGAUGUAUAUCGAUUCUAUCGUAUAUUAAUAAAACAAUUUUUUUCAUCGAAUUAACAAUUUUCUAAAGAAAAAUACAAAUUCGUCUAACAAAUUGGCAAUAUAAUUAACGCCAUAAUAAUUUAAUUAAUUUAAAAUUAAUUAUCAAAAUAUUUUCACUAGUACAAUCGAUUUGUAUUCGAGUAAUCGAUGCACUCCGUCCGUUUCCGCGAAAGUAGCGAACUCUAUAUCGAUUCCGCUUGCAUUCGAAACAAUAGUACAUAAACGAGAAUCGUCCAUGUUUGUUAGCGUCGUCGCGACAACAGACUUGUGUGUUUCGAAAAAGGCGAACGAAGCCAACUGUGCGGUCCGUUUACCGAGAGCUCCGUAUUCCCCAGUGUAUACUAAAACCAUCGAUCGCGUUUUGCAUGAAUAAUUUCGCGGAGGGACACGAGAAAAGAGGACCGUGGUCGUCUGGCGACGAAAAGAACGAAGAUCGAAGAGAAAUUUCGGGAAGGUAUCGGUGAAAUAGAAGGGGAAUUGGAAGUAGUAAAGUCUGUGUCGUUCGGCAUUCAGAAUGCAGAAAAGGAGCGAGGAAAGAGGAGAAUGUAGGGUGGCUCGGCAGUUUGCGUGCAUGUGUUUCUCGUUCGUCCCUAUGCACAAGGAGAGAAGAAGAGUCCAGAGAACGCGAGUCGACCAUAGAGGAAAAGGAAGAAUUAUCGAAGCGUGCCCGUGGUCGGACAGAGAUAAUCGUGCCUAUACCGGCUACGGAUAGAGUGAAACGGAAGAAAAGGAGAACGUGAAACGGUUCGCCGAGGAGGCUGGUCAAUGGUAGGCCGGCUAUCGGAACACCCUUCUCGAAAACAAAGCCGGAUCUCACCUUGAUUUAUCGCUGAGUGCUGCCGCGGUGCUGUGUGUUCUGCUCCAGACCAGGCUGCAGCCGGGGUGAAUUCCCCGGCGAAAAUUAAUCCAUUAUUAGGUAAACGAAGACGGAAUAACUGCGAUUACGGAGUUCAGAAAUCACCACUCUUCUCUACACGAAACCUCGACGCUUCUUCCGCGUAUUUUGUAUCUUUUUUCUGCCUAGUUGCCCGCCACCAGACGGCUAACCUCGGUCCGUUGGAGUUCUGUGUACACACCAUAUACACGACCCGCCACUAAAUCAGCUCCGUAAACGUAUGCACGGUAACGUGUGUCACGACGAGCAGCUCGAAGCUUGCACACGGUAGCAGAUCACACAAUGCGCGUCUUCCUUACGUUCAAGUCAUUCCCGUCAACGUCAACGACUCACAAAGGUACCGGAUACACGAUUUCUCCAGAUAUUUUCCUUCGUUCUCGUUCGACAAGCACGACGAUACGCGACGCGGCAUAAACGAUACACGUGCGAGUCGUCGUAACGAGAGACGAACUACCCCUAACAUCGGCCGAGAACGUACUGACAUGAAGGCAACCGAGGAAACACGAAAGCGAAGCUCCGACUGAAUCGUUGACGCGAGUGGGGGAAACCUUUCGGCCGACUUCGGAAUACUUCGGCGCGUCUUCCCCCUCUUCCUUCCAAUGAAUACUUUACACGAGUGUAGGAUUCUCCCGUUCUCUACGUACACGCUAAGAGUCCCGAUGUGUAUUCGGAUUCUGUUCUCCUCUCUUUCCUUUUUUACCUCAUUUCCACUCCUCCUCUUCUCUCUUUCAUCUUCUCCCAAUAGAUACUCCCUCCUCUCUACCACUGUUCGCGCGAGUCUCGUACAUGCACACCUGUUCACUGUGCAUACGUGUGUGCACGCGACGCGUACCUUAUAUACCCUGUUCGCGGCAGUCUCCACACGCGCGAUGACGUCACGCUGGGCGCCGUGGCGUGGAUAACGAGAUGGCCCGAGUCUUCCUCGGGACCCUCGAUCGCUAAUUAUCGUCCUAGAGGUUUCGCCUCGUUCCGUGACCGGUUUGCUCUUCCUUUUUCUCUUCCUUCCCGUGGGCCUGCUGCCCACCGGACGGAGAAAUCGUGCCCGCUUCGAGAAGAGAAGGCACCACCGGCAGCCACCCUCUCCCCGACGAUUUUCGUUUCGCCGCUCGUUUCCCGGUGGCAUUAAUGAUGUCUCGUGUAGGUACAGUCACGACCGGUUCCCUCCAGACCUACCUCCUAUCAAGAUCAAGUAUCUUCGACUAGCCUCUUCGACUUCUCGGAGAGGACACGCCGUGAGGGGCAGCCGAACAAUUCCCAUCUAGGGUUUCACGCGGUGUGCAACACACGUCGUCCUGGUCCACACGCGAUCCCCUUCGACUCUUCGCCGAGGAAGCGAAGUUGAAAGGUAGCGUUUUAGGAGGUUGGAGGGGGAGGGGUUCGAAAUUCCACGAGCGUGGACCGUGCGAGUGCAAAAAUGAGCAUCGCGUCCAACGUAUAAAUAACGAAACACAUAGCCUCGUUGUAGGAGGCUGCGACGAGGGUUUGUGCAAUAAAUAACGACCUAGCGGAGCACACCUGCAGCGACAAGGCGUGUCCGAUGGACGAUGAAGUUUAACGUCCCUCCCUCGUUUAUUUCUCUGCCCAAAGCUAUUGCAAGACGCGACACCAAUAAAAUGCUAAUUCGCCCCUCCUCGUUACGAAUAUACGCACCCCUCUAUCUUGUGUUUUUUAACGCGAUCCCUGGAACGAGCUGGCUAUACACGCUACUAUCUAUUAUCAUUCAUAUCGCGUAUUAUCGUGUAUUAUCGUUCAUACCGUGUUUACCGAUUGCUAUAUUAUAAUAUCAGUGAGUUAAAUAAAGCAUGUUUCGUAGCCUUCAUUCUUUAGUAUAUUUUUUUUAUUUAAAAUUACUCUAUACGUAAAAAUGAUAAUUUUUGAAAGUAUUUGUUUAGUAAGUAAUUUAUAGACAUUUUUGAGAUCAUAAUUGAAAUUAAUUCUCUUUUAGAAUUUUAUAAACUCGUCAAUCACGAUUUAACAGAUGAUCCCUUAAAAUGCAAUAUACUUGACAAAGCCAAUUGGACGCACGCAAUUUCUUAUUAUUAUCUAAUGAAUGCAACACAUUCUCCUCGGUUCAUUUGAAUAAUCUAAAUACAGCCUACGAUCUCAACAUCUGUUUCUGGCAUAACUAAUCUCUCAAUCCGCCAAAACCCACGUAUAUUUAACAAUCAAUGAUUUCAAUUGUCAUAAUAUAACAAGUGUUUUAAAUCUAAAACAAUUCCAGAAAAUUUCACGUAUCUUUCACGUACAAUCCCAAUCAAUUUUUCUAUUAAAUCAAUUUCUUCGAUUUCCAUUUCAAUUCAUUUAUUUCAAUUAAUAAUCUGCGAAAAGGAAAUCAAUUUAACUUGAUAACUUUAUAAAUCUUACGAUUUAGGAACGGACUUCUGGCAAAUGUUUCCCUCUUGUAAACGUGUCCUCGGCGUCUCCUCAGCGCGGAAGGGAAGCUGUGCAGCCCUCGGGCCACGGACACUUUCCCUCACCGCUCCCGGAAUAGCUCGGGAAAGCGAAGGGUAGGUUUUUUUCUUCCCGCAGCCAGGCAACGGGUGCAUAGGAACGACGUAGGAUUGGUUCUGAUUAUGAUCUCGCGUCACCCCAACGUAAGGAGCGCGACAAUGACGAUGACUGCAAUUCCGCGUACGCGCAAGGUGGUCCAUUAUGAUCUUCCAGCUGGAUUGAGCGACAAAAUAGUGGAGAUGAGGAGUUGGAGGAAUCGUUCUAAGGAGCUCGUCGAAUGUUUUAAGAAAUCGUGCGUUUGUGUGGGGGAGGAAAGUCUCGUUUGGUCUCGUUUCAUCCAUUCCUUCGUGUGCGUGUGUGUGAGUAUACUUUUGAAUGUAAGUCGUUGAAAUUUUAAAAAAAUCUUUUAAUUUUUCUUAGCCAAAUAUAUAUUUGUUUAUAUACACGA